rnacentral:rRNA from 1 species
GUAGUUAGCCGGGGCUUCCUCCUUGGCUACCGUCACUUUCUUCGUCACCAAGGACAGAGGUUUACAAUCCGAAGACCUUCUUCCCUCACGCGGCGUUGCUGGGUCAGGCUUGCGCCCAUUGCCCAAUAUUCCCCACUGCUGCCUCCCGUAGGAGUCUGGACCGUGUCUCAGUUCCAGUGUGGCCGAUCAGCCUCUCAGCUCGGCUACCCAUCGUUGGCUAGGUGGGCCGUUACCCCGCCUACUACCUAAUGGGACGCGAACCCCUCCUUCUGCGGAUUGCUCCUUUGACCCCUGAGCCAUGCGACUCUGUGGUCUUAUGCGGUAUUAGCACUUGUUUCCAGGUGUUAUCCCCCUCAAAAGGGCAGGUUGUUCACGCGUUACUCACCCGUUCGCCACUAGCUAUAAAUCCGAAAACCUAUAGCCCGUUCGACUUGCAUGUGUUAGGCACGCCGCCAGCGUUCGUCCUAAGCCACGGAUCAAACUACUGA